rnacentral:rRNA from 1 species
UACGUAGGGGGCAAGCGUUGUCCGGAAUCAUUGGGCGUAAAGAGCGUGUAGGCGGCCCGAUAAGUCCGCUGUGAAAGUCCAGGGCUCAACCCUGGAAUGCCGGUGGAAACUGUCGAGCUCGAGUCCGGAAGAGGCGAGUGGAAUUCCUGGUGUAGCGGUGAAAUGCGCAGAUAUCAGGAGGAACACCAAUGGCGAAGGCAGCUCGCUGGGACGGUACUGACGCUGAGACGCGAAAGCGUGGGGAGCAAACAGG